GGGUUGAUUCGAAUGGGUUGACACCUGCUGGCUUAGGCAGGCAUCCCUUUCCUCCCUCACUGCUCCAUGUGGAUCUCUCCUGAAGCUGUGUGCUGGGUGGAAGAGGAGGAUCUUCUCUGAUAGAGGACAACGGUUCUGUGGUCAAGUGUAUACCACUCCCCUGCUAGAACCGCAGAACGAGCUCAAACCAGAAGAUGAAUGUUGAACAUGUACAUCCUGUU
rnacentral:snRNA from 1 species